UCACUGGUCUUGGUAUAUAGACCUUGAAAAUGGAUCCAAAUCAAAGGUUUUGUUACAGGGACCUUUAAACAAAGGGAUACCCAGGUGGAGCCAGGAGCCCAACUGAGCACAGGGCAGUAGCUGGAAGCUGCUGCACCCACUUGCUGUCAGAUACCAACCUGGGUUCCAGCAGAAACUGCUCAUUUAGUCAAUCUGUUAUAAAAUUAUCUAUUAGAAUAUUUCCACCCAGCUUUAACUGAAGAUUUUCACAGAGAUUUCACUACUCAGCUGGGGUCGUGUUAGUGUAAGUGUCCUUACUCUAGGUGGGGACUGGUACUCUGUGAGUGCUGUGAGACAUGAAAUACUUCUUCUCCUUGCUGAUAUCUUCCUGUUGUGCUGACAGGGUGAACGAGGAAUACCAGGGAGAAAAGGGGCCAAAGGACAGAAGGGGGAGCCAGGCCCUCCUGGACUGGAUCAGCCUUGUCCUGUGGGACCAGACGGACUGCCAGUAGCAGGAUGUUGGCAUAAGUGAACUCUAAGCAUGAAGCACAAUAUGUAAAUAAUGUGAUAUAUUUUGAUCUUUUAAUUUUUGUAUAAAAAAAGGAAAAAAACACUUUUGACAGUAAUAUAUUGACCUUUUUUUAUACUGGAUUCUGACAUUUAUGGACUUGGAAAAUAAUGUAAAGCUCCCAAACCCAUACCAUUGCAUGGUAACACC
rnacentral:lncRNA from 1 species